UGGGGAAGGAGCUCUUGUUGGAGAUCCCUUCCUUGUGGAGUUUUCCUUGUGAGCCGAGGUGUUCAGAGGCAGGAAAUGACUUUUGCUAUCAACAGAAAUGGAUGGGCUGUUCCAGCUUUUCUGAGCCCACACAGAGGCACUCAUUGAUCUGCACACAGACUGCUCCAGCUUGUUUAGUAAUGAAAUUAGCAGCAAUAGAAGCUGAGUCUAAGAGAGUAUGUCUGGGAACGUGUCGUGGACUCUGUGCAUGGAGCCAUGCUGUGGAGUGCUGCCCUGAGAGCAGCUCUGCUGUUCUGUGCUGGGCAGACUGGAGCACCGUAAGGGCAAGAUGAGGAAUUGUCCCAAAGCCAGCAAGCAUACACCUGCAGGCUGCUUAUGGAUGGUGUGCUCUCACAGGAAUCCUGUUACCUCAACAGGCACUGGAGAACGGAUUCUUUUCUUAUACCACCAAGCUGUUCUCUUCAACGUGCUUUAUUAACGAUCUGAACUACAUCACCAUCCCGCUUAACUGGAGAGAGACAAGGAGAAACCUGAGGCGCCAUCUGGGUAAAAGAGAAUGUUUGGAUAAGUUCUGAGCUGUGCUCUGGAACAGAACAUACAGCUGGAUCUAGAACAGUUGCCAAAGAGGAGUCUGUGGGCAAAUGGUGCUGGAUUCCCAGACAGAGGUCAUAAAGCUCCUUGCUUCCUUGCAAAGUGUUUCUGUAUUAUUCUUACAUAUCUUUGUAUGUUACUGCUGCACUGAGAGUUUUAUGGCAAAUCCAUUCUCUGUUUCCCAGAGGUGAUGCUGAGAAGCUCGCCUCACGAUGACUUAUGCAGGCCUCUCGUUUCAUGUUAAUGCUUCCUUUGGGUCCAAAGAAGACCAACUCCUUGAAACCGUGCCUGGGAAUCCCACUGUUGUUCAAACGGUUGAGCUGUGGUGCUGUGGUCAGAACGCCCUGCCGCAGAUCCUGGCACUGGCUGUGAAUGGAAGAAUUGACGGCAAAUCACUCGAUAUCAAAAUUGAUCCGGUGGACAUUUACAAGCCUCGAGCGACCCAGGUGGGAUCUCAGAGUGGUGAGGCCAGGUACCGAAGUUGUUACUGCUAUGUUUCUUCUACGAGUUGCUCGGCUGUUUUGCAUUGCUCUGUUAAUCGUUCCAAGCCAGCCUUGGCUUCGCUGUGCUUUUUCAUCACCUCAGACGCUGGCUAAAAAAAAAAAAAAGAAGAAUAAGAGAAAGCAAGACAGCAUCAUUUUGUUGGUUAUUUACCUAUUUACAGAUAUUCAUAACCACUUAGCGCAGAUUUGGUGGGUUUGCCGAAGUUUUUCUUCGUCUUAUUUAGUUCACAUUAUUGUCUGUUCCCCCCCACCCCCAAUCCAACUUUGCGUUUUUCCUCUGCCCUCAUGAGAAAGAGAGAACAGAGCGCCAGAAGCUGCGGCGCAGCUGCGCGUCAACCGGGUCGCAGUUGUUCCCGCGGUCUCUGCCGCCCCCACGUGGCCAAUAGGUGGAAUUGCGGCCAUGUACGUUUGGUGCCGCAGGACGCAUGCGCGCAGGCACACGGAAGUGGUGUACGGACGUUCUCGUCGCUCUGCGCAGCAAAUCCGCCGAACUUUGUUAUACCUAGUCCUCCAAGUAGUAGUGCGCAUGUGCCAAAGACUUUUAAAGAAGGAUCAGUUUAUUUGAAACCCUAAGGUGCGGGUGAGCAGCCAAUUCCUGGACCACUGGCACAAAAAUGCUUUCCUCUCUUUUAGACUGUGCUUCUUGUCUAUUUUCUUGAGCAGUCUGACGACCUGCCUCUACAGCAGACUAUCCUGGCUCCCAGCGGACCUUGCGCCCACUGCAUGCAUAAUAAGGAAUCAAAAACAACGCAUGCGUAGGUGCGUACACGAAAAUCCGCAUGCGAAGUAAUCUCUGCGCAUUGCCGCAUGCGCAAUGCUUUCCAGAGACUUGCACAUGCGCAGUGCUGUGCCAAGAGAAGCGCAUGCGCACUGUGGUGCUGCAACAGGCGCAUGCGUGGUGCAGUGCUGGGACUGGCGCAUGCGUAGUGAGGUUUUGAGGCUGGAACAUGCGCAGUGCGUUCCAGACAAUAGCACAUGCGCAAUAUGCUGCCAAGAUCGGCACAUGCGUAGUGCGGUCUCCGGAUUUGCACAUGCGCACUGCGCCACCGAGAGUGGUGCUUGCGGAUUGCGUCGUAGAGUCUCGGACAUGCGCAGUGCACUGGCAGGACGAGCGCAUGCGCAGUACGGUGCCAAGAGUUGCUCAUACGUAGUGAAGUGCCAUUACUGGUGCAUGCGUAAUGCAGCGCCCAGAUUCUCGCAUGCGUACCGCUUCCCCGAGAUUUGCCGGUCCCGGGUUGCUGCCGUGUCGGUGCUGCUGCACGCCAGCACCACGACCGCGAAUCUCCGAGCUGCUCCUUUCCACUGCCGCUGAGAGGGCUUUUAAACGGCUGGGGGACUGUGCAGGGCUGGGGCGGGAAGGGGACGUCUGCUAGUUCAUCGUGGCUGCGAGCAAAUUGGAUGCCACGAGGAGCUGAGGGGCAGCUGUGAGCCGAACCGGUCCGAUCCCGGGUGGGUUCGGGCAUAAAACGGCGGAAAUAGACGACGGGCAUCCCGGAUUAGAAGGGGAAAAAUGUCGCUAAGCUGGCGGUCCAAGAAUCGACUGCUUGCCUGUACGGGCGCACGUCCGUUAUUACCUGGAGGACUGAUCACCAUAGAGAGCGGCGGAUUAGCUGCGCAGAGCGGUUAAAACGCCAGUUCCGGAUUUGUAGGCGCAUGCGUUAUGCUGCUGGCGGGACUCGGUGGAAGACAGCAGCAGUUCCACUCAUUGGCCACGAGGUGGCAGCAGAGACCGCGGAAAGAACUCUGACGGCAUUGACGGGGACCCGCGGCGCUGUCCUCGGCGAUCCGUUCUGUCUUGUGAUGACGGGCGAAGAACGCGAAGUUAGAAGCGGGGGGAAAAGACAAAGAAAACAGAGGGAAAUUACUCCAGACCCUGGACAGCCGUGCUAAGUGCUUAUGAAUGCCUGUUAAAAAAAAAAACAAAAAAAAACUUGUUUUUGCCAGCAUGUGUUGCAUUGUUUUUAAAUAUUCACAUACUAAAAUGUAACUGCCCAGCAAAUUUAAUGAUAACGAAAUAAAGCACAUUGGCAGAAAGCA